UACGUAGGGUGCAAGCGUUGUCCGGAAUUAUUGGGCGUAAAGAGCUCGUAGGCGGUUUGUCGCGUCGGCUGUGAAAGCCCGGAGCUCAACUCCGGGUCUGCAGUCGAUACGGGCGGACUUGAGUACUGCAGGGGAGACUGGAAUUCCUGGUGUAGCGGUGGAAUGCGCAGAUAUCAGGAGGAACACCGGUGGCGAAGGCGGGUCUCUGGGCAGUAACUGACGCUGGAGGAGCGAAAGCGUGGGGAGCGAACAGG
rnacentral:rRNA from 1 species